UACGUAGGGGGCAAGCGUUGUUCGGAAUUACUGGGCGUAAAGGGCGCGUAGGCGGCCCGCUAAGUCGAACGUGAAAUCCCCGGGCUCAACCCGGGAACUGCGUCCGAUACUGGUGGGCUUGAAUCCGGGAGAGGGAUGCGGAAUUCCAGGUGUAGCGGUGAAAUGCGUAGAUAUCUGGAGGAACACCGGUGGCGAAGGCGGCAUCCUGGACCGGUAUUGACGCUGAGGCGCGAAAGCCAGGGGAGCAAACGGG
rnacentral:rRNA from 1 species